rnacentral:rRNA from 1 species
UACGUAGGGGGCAAGCGUUGUCCGGAAUCAUUGGGCGUAAAGAGCGUGUAGACGGCUUGGUAAGUCCGCUGUGAAAGUCCAGGGCUCAACCCUGGAAUGCCGGUGGAAACUGUCAAGCUUGAGUCCGGAAGAGGCGAGUGGAAUUCCUGGUGUAGCGGUGAAAUGCGCAGAUAUCAGGAGGAACACCAAUGGCGAAGGCAGCUCGCUGGGACGGUACUGACGCUGAGACGCGAAAGCGUGGGGAGCAAACAGG